UGUGGGAGGGGGCUUGCCCCCGAUAGCAGUGGAUCAGUCAGAAUAUUUGUCACUGACACACCGCCAUCGGGGGCAAGCCCCCUCCCACA
rnacentral:misc_RNA from 1 species